GAGAGAGCCGUUAGGUUGGCAGUUGGGCAGCCAUGUUUGGACUGAGGGCUGGCAGCUAGCCUACCAAAGGUGCAGAUCAGCUAGUGCGUGUGCUCUCGUUCCCCGGUGCCUGUGAACAGCAGACAGCAUCAGGCUAGUUCCAACGGUGCUUCCCCUGGCUGUGGACAAGUCAUCCUGUCACCCAGCAUACAGCGAUGACCGAAGGAAGCAGAGCGGUGUUCAGCGUAGACCCUCCUAGGGAGAUGAGUAACAUCAGGCGGGAGAAAAGGUGGCACCAUCUUUGCUAUCCAAGCCAGCUUAUUAUUAUUACAGACAGGAGUCCCUGCCAAUAACUAGGCUGUAAGGAGGUGAAACAGUGUCUCCAGUUCACAACCACAGCAAAGAGACAGUAAGACAGGCAGACUGCAGAGAACCCAGUUAUUCUAGCACCUGUGAUUGACUAACCUGCAAUGAAGUGGGAGCGGCCAAGCACCCUUUUGUGUUCAUUAUUUUCUACUUUAUUUUGAUUGGUUCUUGUAGUUGUUACCUGUAUAUACAUUCGGUGGAUUGCUGUGACAUUUUACCUUGGGGCAUGGAAAUUGUGUUCUUUUGUGCUGUAAAUAAAUCAUCCUUAAUGGCAAGAUUCCAGUGUGACGCAGACUCAUUUCUAUUUCAUAUAUAUUGUGAUCUGCGCGCACCUGGUAAAGUGAUUAAUUAAACAUGUUCUCAUUCCAUUGCCUGAUACACAAUGCACAAAGUAAGAUCUAGAAUGCAAAAUAAAAGAAAAUAUAUAUAAAAAUUUUUUUAACUUCCUCUUGUCAAAUUCAUACCACAUAAAAAGUAAUUAUCCUUCA